AACCUGCUCAUUACCAUGCGUUCCAUAAUCUUGCAUAAAUUUGACGUUAGGGCUAUAGGCCUGUAGUUUAUAGGUUGCGUAUGGUCCUUUCCUGAUUUUGCAAUUGGAACUAUUACCCCAUGUUUCCAUUCACCUGGUAGCUUUCCUAAAUCCCACACCUUAUUAUACAAACUCAAAAUAAUAUUUAAAGAGUGAUCUGAUAACUGCUUGAUCAUCUCAUAACAAAUCUUGUCUCUGCCAGGAGGUCUACUACUUCUGCCGAGAUUCGUGAGUGUGGAUCGGAUGGACACUUCUCUCUCUAUCCCAUGAUGCCACGGGAACUGCGCAGUGGUCAAAUUUCAAAAGCAAACCAAAUAAAUACUGUGGAAAAGGCGGACGUCCGUUUUUAAUGAGUUUCAGAUCUUCAUCAGUCUUUUUUGUCUGGAUGACAUGAUGAGGAAGAAGCAGUCACAUGAUCUGCCAGAGUAAGUACCAAUGCUCAAAAGUCAGCUGGGGAAAUUGACUUGAGUUCAGAUUGCAGACGGUAGGAGACAGUGGGCAUCAGAGAGAUUUCCAGGAAGAGAUGCAUGAUGGGUCUUUUUUUGUUUAUGUCUGUUACUCUGUUGAACAGGAACACGAGUCACUCUGUUCUGCUAAAAGCUUUAAACCCACCACAACAUCUCUCAAUGUAGAGCUCUCUGAACACCUCUGAAAUCACCACAAGCCCACAGAUGAGCGCUACUGAUGCUGAGAGAGAGAGAGAGAGAGAGAGAGAGAGA